ACAAUGGAGAGUUUGAUCCUGGCUCAGGAUUAACGCUAGCGGCAGGCCUAAUACAUGCAAGUCGAACGGGAUUUCGGGUAGCAAUAUCUGAAUGAGAGUGGCGCACGGGUGCGUAACGCGUAUGCAAUCUACCGCUGACUGGGGAAUAGCCCUCCGAAAGGAGGAUUAACACCGCAUAACACUGUGAAGGGGCAUCUCUUUACAGUUAAAACUCUGGUGGUCAGCGAUGAGCAUGCGUCCGAUUAGCUAGUUGGUGAGGUAACGGCUCACCAAGGCAACGAUCGGUAGGGGGUCUGAGAGGAUGAUCCCCCACACUGGUACUGAGACACGGACCAGACUCCUACGGGAGGCAGCAGUAAGGAAUAUUGGACAAUGGGCGCAAGCCUGAUCCAGCCAUGCCGCGUGAAGGAUGAAGGCCC
rnacentral:rRNA from 1 species